rnacentral:rRNA from 1 species
GAUGAACGCUAGCGGCAGGCCUAACACAUGCAAGUCGAGGGGCAGCACAGAAACAGCAAUGUUUUGGUGGCGACCGGCGGACGGGUGCGUAACGCGUAUGCAACCUACCUUUAACAGGGGGAUAACGGAGAGAAAUUUCCACUAAUACCCCAUAACAUCGAUCAAGGCAUCUUGAUUGGUUGAAAACUCCGGUGGUUAAAGAUGGGCAUGCGUUGUAUUAGGUAGUUGGUGAGGUAAUGGCUUACCAAGCCUACGAUACAUAGGGGACUGAGAGGUUAGCCCCCCACACUGGUACUGAGACACGGACCAGACUCCUACGGGAGGCAGCAGUGAGGAAUAUUGGUCAAUGGGGGCAAACCUGAACCAGCCAUGCCGCGUGCAGGAAGACGGCUCUAUGAGUUGUAAACUGCUUUUAAACAGGGAUAAAGCACAGUAUGUAUACUGUGUUGAAGGUACUGUAAGAAUAAGGAUCGGCUAACUCCGUGCCAGCCGCCGCGGUAA